AUUGCUUUUUGACCUUUUGGCUAAGAUCAAGUGUAGUAUCUGUUCUUAUCAGUUUAAUAUCUGAUACAUCUCCCAUGCGGGGACCAUAUAUUAAAUGGAUUUUUGAGAACAGAGACCGAUUUCUUAAAUCGCCCUAUGCAUUGACCCAGUAAGGCAGUAUCUUUGGAUGCAGUGCACCAAAC